rnacentral:rRNA from 1 species
UACGUAGGGUGCGAGCGUUGUCCGGAAUUAUUGGGCGUAAAGGGCUCGUAGGCGGUUUGUCGCGUCGGGAGUGAAAACCCCGGGCUUAACUCGGUGCUUGCUUUCGAUACGGGCAGACUAGAGGUAUGCAGGGGAGAACGGAAUUCCUGGUGUAGCGGUGAAAUGCGCAGAUAUCAGGAGGAACACCGGUGGCGAAGGCGGUUCUCUGGGCAUGAUCUGACGCUGAGGAGCGAAAGUGUGGGGAGCGAACAGG